AGUACGAUGCCCAAGUAGUUAAGGCGUUGGACUUAAAUUCUAAUGGACAGUCGUCCGCGUGGAUUCGAACCCCACUCAUGCUA
rnacentral:tRNA from 1 species